AACGAACGCUGGCGGCAGGCUUAACACAUGCAAGUCGAGCGCCCUAGCAAUAAGGAGCGGCGCACGGGUGAGUAACGCGUGGGAACGUACCAUGUAGUGGGGGAUAACUUCGGGAAACUGAAGCUAAUACCGCAUACGCCCGAGAGGGGAAAGAUUUAUCGCUAAAUGAUCGGCCCGCGUGAGAUUAGGUAGUUGGUGGGGUAAUGGCCUACCAAGCCUACGAUCUCUAGCUGGUCUGAGAGGAUGAUCAGCCACACUGGAACUGAGACACGGUCCAGACUCCUACGGGAGGCAGCAGUGGGGAAUAUUGGACAAUGGGGGAAACCCUGAUCCAGCCAUGCCGCGUGAAUGAUGAAGGCUUUAGGGUUGUAAAGUUCUUUCACCGAUGAAGAUAAUGACGGUAGUCGGAGAAGAAGCCCCGGCUAACUUCGUGCCAGCCGCCGCCGUAA
rnacentral:rRNA from 1 species